rnacentral:rRNA from 1 species
AUGCCUCCAGAGAAGAUAGAGAUCCAGGCAGAAAACAUCGAUGCUGCAGCAGGAGAGAUAAUUGGUGUUUUGGAGGACACAAGCAAAGGAAAUCUGAUCUACUUCAAGGGCUGGGGUGGAUUUGGAGCAUCAGCCACUCUCAAUCUGGUAGCCCAACGCCUGAAAUCAUCAACAAGAUCGAACAAGUUUGAUAAGGUUAUCCAUGUGGAUUGCUCCGUGUGGAAAAGCAUGAGGGCCCUACAAAAGGCAAUUGCGGAGGAGCUAGAGCUUCCGCCUUCAGUGAUGGCCAUCUUUGAUCGGUGCGACGAGGAGGACGAUUUCAAUGGUAUGGAUCUAGGUUCCAGAGGUGUGAUAGCAGAUAUCAGAGGUAAAAUAUUCAGAAAGCUUCUUACCAGUAGACUUGUGGUGGUUUUUCACAAUGGAAGCAGAAGAUACAUUGAUUUGUACGAGUGUGGCCUCCCAGUAAUACCAGUUUUGGGUAACAAGGUGUUGUGGACCUGGCACGGGAGGUUUCGGAUGGGUCUCAAAUUAGAAGACGGGGAAAAGGUAAAGAUGAAGAGUCAGACAGAUAUUCGCUUAUCUGCUUCUACUGAAUUUGAAGAUGAGUUAGCGCGAGAUCUACUGCAUGAAGAGGCUUUGGAGGUUGCCAAGUGCACGGGGAUUGCUCAGCCGGACAACAUAAACCACAAGAUAGUCAUGGAAUGCCUCAUAUACAGGGCACUGAUUGCUACAGAUCUGAAGGCCCAUGCACCAAACUAUUGGAUCUGUGAUGGUAUUAUACAGGGCCAAGAUAAUGCAUCAGCAUGGGACAUUGGCAAUUCUCUUCAGAGAAACAUGAGCUUGGAUUCACCUGUUAUAGGAUCUGAUGAGGCUGCAGCUUUUUUCCUACAUGUAUUGGAUGAGUCACAUGUUAACCGCUGGAAUUUCACCACCCACAAAGAACUGCGAAAUGAUAACACUCAUGUGCUGCCUCCUCAGGUCACAUCGUUCUUCCUUUAUGCAGAUGAACUACCAACAAAUACAACAUCAAUAUUGCUAGUUGGCAUGUUCCAACACUCACAAAGUAGCAAGCUGCGUGUGUUACAUCUGUCUCAUUGCACCUUCAGUUUUGCAUCUCCUCCCUUCGUCCAUUGCGCCCAACUAAGAUUGCUCCAUCUGGACCAUUGCACAAAUAUCACAGAUGAUGGCAAGCAUCCAAGCCAGAAUGAAGACAUGUCAUGUUUCCAGAAGCUAUGGGUGAUGGAUCUGAGGUAUACAGAAUGGUACUGGCUACUAUCGGAAAAGAUGAAGAGGUUGAUGGUCGACCUCAGGGAGCUGAAUGUGGAAGGACUCAAGCAUGGGAGCAUAAGUGAUUUUUGUGGCGGUAGACCAAGCCUUGUAGUACUUCGCGUAACAGUAGCUGAUCCGUUCUGUAUGGAGAACGAAGACACAGAUAAUCAAGCACAUUUCCCCAAUAUGUCCAGUACGAACAGCCUUACGACAUCUAGCUUUAUCACCGAUGUCCUGUCUCCAUUGCUUGAGUCAUUUAGCUUCAUCAACAAAGCUGCAACUGCUGCCAAGAUAUCUAGCAUCUCCUUCCGGGGUUGUUCUCGGUUGAAGAGUAUACUUCUCAAAGAAAUUUGGGGUGCGUGGAGGAGAUGGACCUCUCAGGCACUGCAGUGA